rnacentral:hammerhead_ribozyme from 1 species
AUUCUGCUGACGAGUCCCAAAUGGGACGAAACGCGCGUUCUGGAU